GACGAACGCUGGCGGCGUGCUUAACACAUGCAAGUCGAGCGGUAAGGCCCUUUCGGGGGUACACGAGCGGCGAACGGGUGAGUAACACGUGGGUGACCUGCCUUUAGCUCUGGGAUAAGCCUGGGAAACCGGGUCUAAUACCGGAUAUGACUCCGCGGCGCAUGUUGUGGGGUGGAAAGCCUUGUGCGGCUGGAGAUGGGCCCGCGGCCUAUCAGCUUGUUGGUGGGGUGAUGGCCUACCAAGGCGACGACGGGUAGCCGGCCUGAGAGGGCGACCGGCCACACUGGACUGAGACACGGCCCAGACUCCUACGGGAGGCAGCAGUGGGGAAGUCUUGCGCAAUGGGCGAAAGCCUGACGCAGCGACGCCGCGUGAGGGAUGACGGCCU
rnacentral:rRNA from 1 species